rnacentral:rRNA from 1 species
GACGAACGCUGGCGGCGUGCUUAACACAUGCAAGUCGAACGGAAAGGCCCUGCUUUUGCGGGGCGCUCGAGUGGCGAACGGGUGAGUAACACGUGAGUAACCUGCCCUUGACUUUGGGAUAACUUCAGGAAACUGGGGAUAAUACCGGAUAGGAGCUCUUGCUGCACGGUGGGGGUUGGAAAGUUUCGGCGGUUGGGGAUGGUCUCGCGGCUUAUCCGCUUGUUGGUGGGGUAGUGGCUUACCAAGGCUUUGACGGGUAGCCGGCCUGAGAGGGUGGCCGGCCACAAUGGGACUGAGGUACGGCCCAGACUCCUACGGGAGGCAACGGGGGGGAAUAUUGCGCAAUGGGCGGAAGCCUGAUGCAGCAACGCCGCGUGCGGGAUGACGGCCUUCGGGUUGUAAACCGCUUUCGCCUGUGACGAAGCGUGAGUGACGGUAAUGGGUAAAGAAGCACCGGCUAACUACGUG